rnacentral:rRNA from 1 species
UUGCACGCUGGCGGCAUGCUUUACACCUGCCAGUCGCACGGCAGCGCGGGCUUCGGCCUGGCGGCGAGUGGCGAACGGGUGAGUAAUACAUCGGAACGUGCCCAGUAGUGGGGGAUAGCUCGGCGAAAGCCGGAUUAAUACCGCAUACGACCUGAGGGUGAAAGCGGGGGAUCUUCGGACCUCGCGCUAUUGGAGCGGCCGAUGGCAGAUUAGCAAGUUGGUGGGGUAAAGGCCUACCAAGGCGACGAUCUGUAGCUGGUCUGAGAGGACGACCAGCCACACUGGGACUGAGACACGGCCCAGACUCCUACGGGAGGCAGCAGUGGGGAAUUUUGGACAAAGGGCGAAAGCCUGAUCCAGCAAUGCCGCGUGUGUGAUGAAGGCCUUCGGGUUGUAAAGCACUUUUGGCGGGAACGAAAAGGACUGUGCCAAUACCACGGUUCGAUGACGGUACCCGCAGAAUAAGCACCGGCUAACUACGUG